GGGACCCGAUCCGAAGAGUCUGACUGCUGACUGACCGCGGAGGCCAUCCAGGCUUUCAGCUCACAAGAAAUCUCCCCCUGCGAGAGGAGAGAGGGACCCCCCAGAAGGGGCUGGAGGCUCUCCCUCUCAACAGGGUCAGGAAGAAACUGAAAGCUGGAAUUCAUAACCAUUCCCUUACUCAAGUCCUUACAGGCUCUGCAGUAUACCCAGAAAGCCACCCAUAAGCUUGUUCGUGAUGCUCUGCCAGUGCCCACUGCGGACCCUGUACAUCCCUUCCAGCCCAAGAACUCGGUAUGGGUAAAGAAGGUCACUGCCCAAGGACUCACCCCAACCUGGGAGGGAUGCUACACUGUUAUCCUGAGCACGCCCACGGCUGUUGAAGUAGAUGGCGUCCAGACCUGGCUACACCACUCCCAGCUCCUGCACCAGGAAACGGCCUGGAUCCUGGCAACCAGCGGCCUCACCCGUGAGAUCCCUAGCCUGGGCUCCACGCAGGCCAGGAGGAAUCUCGACACCUGCAGGAGAGGAACUGGAAUUCGCUGUGGACAGUACUGUUGGGGACUGUAGUACUAAAAGCCUUGGCCAGAAGUAAAAGACAAAGUAGAAAUGCAAACCGUCUCAUGAUUGAGCCGGGUGUCCCAAGACAAGGGGGGAAUGAAAGGGCAGAGCAGGACAGCACAAAAUGUACUGUACCCUCCAUCCUGUGUAACUAUGUAUCAGACUCCUUUUUCUUAGAAAACCGCGAGAAUGUAACAAUUGCAUGAACCUGCCAAUAGGAAUGUAGAGAAGUAAAUUCAGUCCAAAUUAGGCAAUCUCUGUAACCCACGUCACUUCCCUAAGCCCACCCAAAUGUCCAACCCUUUAUAAUUCAUCACUCCCCCGGAGUUCGCUCUCUGGCCCCACUGCUGCGUCAGGAGGAGGCUGGGAGCCAAACCCGGGUUUGAAUAAAGACUCUUUGCUUUUGCAUCGGAGAAAAGGCUC